rnacentral:lncRNA from 1 species
UAGUGUUGUAUAGUGUCCUAUAGUCUUGUAUGGUGUUGUACAGUGCUGUAUAGUGUUGUAUAGUGUUGUAUAGUGUUGUAUAGUGUUGUAUAGUGUCGUAUAGUCUUGUAUAGUGUUGUAUAGUGUCGUAUAGUCUUGUAUAGUGUUGUAUAGUGUUGUAUAGUGCUGUAUAGUGUUAUAUAGUCUUGUAUAGAGUCGUAUAGUGUUGUAUAGUGUUGUAUAGUGUUGUACAGUGUCGUAUAGUCUUGUAUAGAGUCGUAUAGUGUUGUAUAGUGCUGUAUAGCCUUGUAUAGUGUUGUAUAGUGUCGUAUAGUCUUGUAUAGUGUCGUAUAGUGUUGUAUAGUGUUGUAUAGUGCUGUAUAGUGUUGUAUAGUGUUGUAUAGUGUUGUAUGGUGUUGUAUAGUGCUGUAUAGCCUUGUAUGGUGUUGUAUAGUGUCGUAUAGUGUUGUAUAGUGUUGUAUAGUGUCGUAUAGUGUCGUAUAGUGUUGUAUAGUGUUGUAUAGUGUUGUAUAGUGCUGUAUAGUGUUGUAUAGUCUUGUAUAGAGUCGUAUAGUGUUGUAUAGUGUUGUAUAGUGUUGUACAGUGUCGUAUAGUCUUGUAUAGAGUCGUAUAGUGUUGUAUAGUGCUGUAUAGCCUUGUAUAGUGUUGUAUAGUGUCCUAUAGUCUUGUAUGGUGCUGUAUAGUGUUGUAUAGUGUUGUAUAGUGUUGUAUAGUGUUGUAUAGUGCUGUAUAGUGUUGUAUAGUGUCGUAUAGUCUUGUAUAGUGUCGUAUAGUGUUGUAUAGUGUUGUAUAGUGCUGUAUAUUGUUGUAUAGUGUUGUAUAGUGUUGUAUAGUGUUGUAUAGUGCUGUAUAGCCUUGUAUAGUGCUGUAUAGUGUCGUACAGUCUCGUAUAGAGUCGUACAGUGUUGUAUAGUGUUGUAUAGUGUUGUAUAGUGCUGUAUAGUGUCGUAUAAUGUUAUGUAGUGUUGUAUAGUGCUGUAUAGUCUUGUAUAGUGUGGUAUAGUGUGGUAUAGUGUCGUAUAGUGUCGUAUAGUGCUGUAUAGUGUUGUAUAGUGUCGUAUAGUGCUGUAUAGUUUUGUAUAAUGUCGUAUAGUGUUGUAUAGUGUCCUAUAGUCUUGUAUGGUGUUGUAUAGUGCUGUAUAGUGUUGUAUAGUGUUGUAUAGUGUUGUAUAGUGUUGUAUAGUGUUGUAUAGUGCUGUAUAGUCUUGUAUAGUGUUGUAUAGUGUCGUAUAGUCUUGUAUAGUGUCGUAUAGUGUCGUAUAGUGUUGUAUAGUGCUGUAUAGUGUUGUAUAGUGUUGUAUAGUGUUGUAUAGUGUUGUAUAGUGUUGUAUAGUGC